rnacentral:rRNA from 1 species
GGACUACACGGGUAUCUAAUCCUGUUUGCUCCCCACGCUUUCGCGUCUCAGUGUCAGUACCGUCCCAGCGAGCUGCCUUCGCCAUUGGUGUUCCUCCUGAUAUCUGCGCAUUUCACCGCUACACCAGGAAUUCCACUCGCCUCUUCCGGACUCCAGCCCGGCAGUAUCCACCGGCAUUCCAGGGUUGAGCCCUGGACUUUCACGGCGGACUGACCGGGCCACCUACACGCUCUUUACGCCCAAUGAUUCCGGACAACGCUUGCCCCCUACGUAUUACCGCGGCUGCUGGCAC